AAUUGACCUCGGAUCAGGUAGGGAUACCCGCUGAACUUAAGCAUAUCAAUAAGCGGAGGAAAAGAAACCAACAGGGAUUGCUCAGUAACGGCGAGUGAAGCGGCAAUAGCUCAAAUUUGAAAUCUGGCCCCUCUUCGGGGCUCGAGUUGUAAUUUAUAGAGAGUGUUUCGGGUGAGAUCACGGUCUAAGUCCAUUGGAACAUGGUGUCAUAGAGGGUGAGAAUCCCGUAUGUGACUGUGGAUCGAGCCCAUGUGAAGCCUCUUCGACGAGUCGAGUUGUUUGGGAAUGCAGCUCAAAAUGGGUGGUAAAUUUCAUCUAAAGCUAAAUACUGGCUGGAGACCGAUAGCGCACAAGUAGAGUGAUCGAAAGAUGAAAAGCACUUUGGAAAGAGAGUUAAACAGUACGUGAAAUUGUUGAAAGGGAAGCGCUUGCAAUCAGACCUGUCCGUAGGUGAUCAGCCGCUGUUUUCAGUGGUGCACUCGCUCUGCGAUCAGGCCAGCAUCGGUUCUGGCGGUCGGAUAAAGGCCUUGGGAAUGUAGCUCCCUCCGGGGAGUCUUAUAGCCCUCGGUGUAAUGCGGCCAGCCGAGACCGAGGACCGCGCUUCGGCUAGGAUGCUGGCGUAAUG
rnacentral:rRNA from 1 species